rnacentral:rRNA from 1 species
AGAAUCAACGCUGGCGGCGUGCCUAACACAUGCAAGUCGAACGAGAAAGUGGAGCAAUCCAUGAGUAAAGUGGCGACCGGGUGAGUAACACGUGACUAACCUACCCUAGAGUGGGGGAUAACCUCGGGAAACCGGGCUAAUACCGCAUAACACCUACGGGUCAAAGGAGCAAUUCGCUUCAGGAGGGGUCGCGGCAGAUUAGCUAGUUGGCGGGGUAACGGCCCACCAAGGCAGUGAUCUGUA